CGUGAGUGCCCACAACAAAUGGGGCGCUGUAUCAAAGUUGAGCAACGUGGUCUUCGACUGCGCGGGCGCCGCGAACGCGUGGUACCGCAACCACGAAUCUGACCUUCGCACCUGGUUCGACUUCAAGAGGGCGGCGCUUUCGCUCUGAUCGCUUCGGCCACAGAGCAACAUAGUACAGGUCAAGAGUGCACGAGUGCACACUCCAGCUGUUUCACGGCCGAGCUACGGAGAUUCGCCGAUUCCGUUAGGUGACAGAGCACGCCAAGAAAUAUGUGGCUGCGGCUGCGGCCGUGGCUAGCAGCUUGACAGGCGGCUCGACCCAGCACGUGCGAAGCCCAGUCAAGCCCCGUCGCCGGGCUCUACGUUCGCGCUGGCGGCGACGUUAUUCUGUAAAAUACGCCCGAGGAUCGUUGUCGGGCUCUUCUGCCAGCGUCUGACUAUGGUCUGACACUACUGCUUCGUCACCGUUUCACGCAAGGAGUGGUGAUUCCAGCGAUAACAGCGACGUGGCAGCGUCCGAGCUGCGAGGACAAGGACCUGCGUGAAGCGAGUCUCGCGAAACUUAGGACCGGCAAGCAGGCAUCGGCGACAACUGGGGUAUGCAGCAAGCACAGACGCGAGGAACAUUUGUGCUACUGCGCCGGGACUGCAA